rnacentral:rRNA from 1 species
CCUACGGGCGGCAGCAGUGAGGAAUAUUGGUCAAUGGGCUUACGCCUGAACCAGCCAAGUCGCGUGAGGGAAGACUGCCCUCUGGGUUGUAAACCUCUUUUGUCGGGGAGCAAAUGCCGCUACGUGUAUCGUUAUCGAGUGUACCUAAAGAAAAAGCAUCGGCAAACUCCGUGCCUGCAGCCGCGGUAAUACGGAGGAUGCAGGCGUUAUCCGUCUUGAUUGGGUUUAAGGGGUGCGUAGGCGGACUGCCAAGUCAGCGGUAAAUGCGCGGGGCUCAACCUAGCGCGGCCGUGGAAACUGGCUUUCUUGAGUGGGCGAGAGGUAUGCGGAAUUCGUGGUGUAGCGGUGAAAUGCAUAGAUAUCACGAAGAACUCCGAUUGCGAAGGCAGCAUACCGGCGCCUAACUGACGCUGAAGCACGAAAGCGUGGGGAUCGAACAGGAUUAGAUACCCGGGUAGUC